rnacentral:rRNA from 1 species
CCCUUAGAUGUCCUGGGCUGCACGCGCGCUACACUGAUGUGUCCAGUAAGCACCUAACCUAUUCCGAGAGGAGCGGGUAACCUUAGCAAAGCACAUCGUGAUGGGGAUAGAUUAUUGCAAUUAUUAGUCUUGAACGAGGAAUUCCUAGUAAGCACAAGUCAUCAGCUUGUGUUGAUUACGUCCCUGCCCUUUGUACACACCGCCCGUCGCUCCUACCGAUUGAAUGUUCCGGUGAGCUCUUCGGACUGCGCGGUCUGCAGUUUCUGCGUUCCGUGCGGAAAGUUGUGCAAACCUUAACAUUUAGAGGAUGGAGAAGUCGUAACA